GAUGAACGCUAGCGGCAGGCCUAACACAUGCAAGUCGAGGGAGAGGUUACCUUCGGGUAACCAAAACCGGCGCACGGGUGCGUAACGCGUAUACAAUCUGCCUUUCACAUAGGGAUAGCCCGAAGAAAUUUGGAUUAAUACCUAAUGGUAUAUAGGAGCGGCAUCGUUUUUAUAUUAAAGCUACGGUGGUGAAAGAUGAGUAUGCGUUCUAUUAGCUAGUUGGAGAGGUAACGGCUCCCCAAGGCGACGAUAGAUAGGGGUUCUGAGAGGGAUGUCCCCCACACUGGUACUGAGAUACGGACCAGACUCCUACGGGAGGCAGCAGUGAGGAAUAUUGGACAAUGGUCGGAAGACUGAUCCAGCCAUGCCGCGUGCAGGAUGAAGGUCCUAUGGAUUGUAAACUGCUUUUGUAAGGGAAGAAUAAGGAGUACGUGUACUUUGAUGACGGACCUACGAA
rnacentral:rRNA from 1 species